UCCAUACAAACAUUAAUGUUUUUAAGUUCUCUUUCUUUCCAUACACCGUUACCCUAUGGAAUCAGCUGCCACCCCUGAUCGUUAAUCAGCCUGAUCCUGAACAUUUCAGACAUGCUGUUAACGCAUCCCACUACUAUUAAGUGACUACACCCUGUUUUAUCCUGAUUUUACUCUUGUUAAUACAGUUUUAUCUUGCACUAUCUUCCUUUUGACAUCUUACUGUCAUUCUUUUAACUUUAUUCUGGCACAGACGCGCACCUGCUAGUUAUACCCGAAAGGGGCGUCAAGCAGUAUACAUACAUACAUACAUACAUACAUAACAGCCAGGAAAUUGGCCUGUUUACUUUAAGAUCCCAAGAAAAUGUAACAUAUUUUGGAUGUGCUUUGAGGAAUCAGGAAUGCAAGUGUUUCCUCUUGUUUAUGAAGCAACUCAGUUGGUUAAGGGGCAGACAACUUGUGAGCAUGGUACAUCACUACCUGUAUUGGUAUUCCAUUUUGACAAUGUUGCUAGCUAGAAUAGAAAUAACAUCUUGCUGUGGUACAGUCUGUGGAGACUUUUACUAGGAUAUCACAGAUCGAUUGAAUAUUCAACAAUGAUCACAGACCAUGCAAAGUUUGAAUCUGACUUGCACUUUUGAAUUUAGAAGAAUCUGUGGAGGAGGGUGAAUGCUGAGACCUUUAAUAAUACAUGAUAUUGCUGACACAGUGUGUCAGACAUGAAAGAGGGCCGUAACACUGCACAGUUGGUCAACAAAGAUUUAAAUCCUGUCACAUUCUACCAGUGGAGAAAUAUCUUAUCACAAUAUUUUAAACUUUUGAAGAAGAUAACCAAGUAUUACCACUUUAUCAUGUCUGCAGAAACACCUGGAUUGUUAGUGUUAAAAGUGACAGUCCAGUUAACUUACUAAAAUCUACUCCCCCUUGCUAAACGAAUAUUAUUGACAAGGAAUGACACAAGCCUGACAAUGGUACCUGUAUGAACUCAUAAGAGAAAAGUAUUUGUCUGAAAAGUCAAAGGAUUCUGUUUGUCCCAGACCACUUCAACUGAAAACUGAAAUUGUGAUUGGCGAGGAUUUUUCUGAGAACUGAAAAAAAGGAAGUGAAUGUAAAAGAUAGAAAUUGUUGUUGAAUUCAAAUCUUUUAAUACACAACACUUGGGCCUGUUUUGCUGUUCAUAUAGAUGUGUUUAGCUGUUAAGGUUAAACAUCAAGUAAAGGUUGUAGUUUCAGUUACCUACAUUAAAGUAUUGGCUGGAAAUAAAUAUUUACUUUUCAUCAGAGUUUGUAGCAGUGUAACCUUCAUCAAAGGUUAAGCUGUUUUGUUAAUUAUUAAAGUAUUUUUAGAAAAAGGAAUUUAGUAUGUAUGUUGCCAUGGUAACAUAAUUCUUAUAUUUCAUUGAAAUUAUGGAUUUGUAUUUCAAUAAGGGAUCUACAGUAUAUAAUGUAAUGGUAAAAGAAUGUUCACUUUUUUGUAUUGUCAGUUAUAACUAGCCAGUGAAAAAAACAGAUUAUGAGGAAAGGGAUGACUGAAAUGUUUAUUCUUACAUAACUACUUUUAUUACAGAACAUGGCUGUUUUAAAGUUUUUAUGUGAAAUUUUCAGAUUUCUUUCCUGAAUACUUAUACUUUCAAAUAUUUAACUUAUUAGAAAUACUUUUUUAAAAUAAGCUCUUGCUUUUAAGUAUUAUUGUAGGAAAAGGGAAUUUAAAACAUAUGUCACCAUGGUAACGCAAUUUUCCUAGAAAAUAUAGAAAAAUUUUAAUUAGCUGUACUUUCUAGUAUUCUACUUUAAAAUAAGCAUAAACAAUAAAAAAAUCAAUAGUAAUAUAUGUUCCAUUUAUUUCAAAAUAGUUAUUUAUUACCACCAGGUAGAAGGCAAGUUAUGAAGAAACAAUGACAGAAAUGUCUUAUUCUUAAAGUAAUAAAACAAAACAUUUAAAUUUUUUAACAUGAAAUUUUGAGAUUGUAUUCAAAAAUAUUUUUGAAUACAUA